UACUAAAAAACGACUGACAAUGAAAUAACAUAAAGCUUGACUUUUCGUUUUUACGAGUUUUUUACACGAAGAAGAUGAAUUACUUAAAUAUAAAUAUAAAUAUAACGCACAAUGGUGAUGCAAGAAGAAAUGACAAAGAACAACAGUUUUCAGACGCAUUGAGUGAUACGUGACUAUAGGACAGAAAAGACAGGUUCCUGAGGGGUGGAGGAAUGUUGUUCCAGCAGCGGCUUGCCAUGUACCUAAAGCUCCCACGAAAAGCUGCCGAAGCAUGUUGAGGUGUCACCAACUGUACACUGCAAUUACGCGCCCCAAGUGACCUACGGGUGGACAUCCAUGAUAACUUCUCGAAGAGAUACGAUGGGGAUUUGUGUUUUACUACGCCAAAUAAAAGAAAAGCCAGAUGAAGCUUGCGACGGUGUAGCAUUUUGAGAAUACUGUGCUUAUUUAGAAAAGGAGUCACGUGGGCUCUUGGUGGAAUGUUGAAGCAAAAACGAGCACAAGCAUUUUGUACCCGCUGAAUAAGUCGCUUUGUUUUUGCCAGAAGACGUGGACCAUAGACCAAAUCCAUAUAGUUUAAUUUUGACAGAACAAGUGUUUCAAUCAACUGAGUGCGCAAGGUUUCAUUAAUGAACGGUCGUAUGUUAUAUAAAAGUUUAAGCCUGAAGAAACAGUUUCUCACAGUUUCCGCAACAUGCUUUUCAAAUCUGAGUUCACUAUCCAUAAUUAAGCCUAAAUUUCUAGCCUCAUACACUCUUUCAAUGGGUUCACCCGAUAACAUUACAUCUCUAGCAGGUCCUAUGUUGCUCAACUGAUUUUUGGUGCCGAACAUCAGAUAUUUUGUCUUAGAUGGGUUGAGCAUAAGACUAUUGUCUAGUGCCCAAGAUGCUAUGUUUGCAAGAUCUAUAUUAAGUUUUUGUAUAGCACUGUCAAUUUCAGAUGGUUUACAGGAAAUGUAUAUCUGUAUGUCAUCUGCAUAAAUAUGAUAUUUGCAGUGUGUAAUAUGAGUUCCGAUGUCUGCUGUAUAUAAAAUGAACAGUAUUGGGCCGAGUAUCGAUCCCUGCGGUACACCUCUGGAAAGGGCCAUUUUACCUGAGACUUUAGCUGAUCCAUCACUUAAGCUCAGUUUAACAUACUGCUGCCGCUCACUGAGAUAACUAUGAAACCAAUGCAGCGCACUGUUAUCAAACCCAUAAUAACUUAGCUUAGACAGCAGCAGGUCUAUAUGAAUGCAGUCAAAUGCCCUAGAAAAAUCAAGCAGUACAAGUAGUGUGCACAUGCCCUUAUCUUGUGACCAAAGUAUGUUAUCUGUGACAUCUAGCAAGGCUGUCACAGUACUGCGCCCCUUCCUGAAACCCGAUUGUACAUCUGGUAAGAUACCGUUACUCUCAAUGUAGUCAUUUAGUUGUUCACACACAAUCUUUUCCAGUAUCUUAGACAUACAUGGUAGAAUGCUGAUAGGCCUAAGGUCCUUUAAUUCAGAGGGGUUAGAGGUUUUAGGAAGUGGGCGCACGAUGGCCACCUUCCAAGUGUCAGGAAAAGUGGAUGUUAAAAUAGAGGUGUUUAUCACAUCAGUCAGUAAGCCUAUAGUAUAAGGAAAUGUCAUAAGCAGCAUUUUUAAAUUAAUUAGGUCAUGCCCUUCUGCAUUUGAUUUGAGUUUGGAUAUAAUUUUUAGCAACUUAUUGGAGCUAACUGGUUCAAUAUGAAAUUUCGACUUUGUGUUGUAGCUGUUGAACUCAAAGUAAGUCAACUGAGAAAUUGUAAUAUGUGAUGCAAUUGGUAUGUUUAAAAAAUGUUUAUUUAUUAUAUCAGGGUCGCUGAAAGUGGAUGGCAAUUCUAAAUUAUUUUCAGGCAGAAUGGUAGAUUUCAGAUUUUUCCAAAGAGAUUUCGGCUCCUUAAUUUUAUUAUUUAUGUUGUGGUUGAAGAAAGCUAAUUUUUCAUUGUAUAUGGCCUUAUUUACUGUUGACUUUAGGUCCUUAUAAUAAAGUCUUUUACUCUCA